AGCGGGGUAGCUUAGAUGGAAAAAGCACCGGACCGAUAAUCCGGAGAUCACUGGUUCGAGCCCAGUCCUCGCUACCA
rnacentral:tRNA from 1 species